rnacentral:rRNA from 1 species
AGUAGCCGCGGGAAUACGUAGGGUGCAAGCGUUGUCCGGAAUUAUUGGGCGUAAAGAGCUCGUAGGCGGUUUGUCGCGUCUGCUGUGAAAUCCCGAGGCUCAACCUCGGGCUUGCAGUGGGUACGGGCAGACUAGAGUGCGGUAGGGGAGAUUGGAAUUCCUGGUGUAGCGGUGGAAUGCGCAGAUAUCAGGAGGAACACCGAUGGCGAAGGCAGAUCUCUGGGCCGUAACUGACGCUGAGGAGCGAAAGCGUGGGGAGCGAACAGGAUUAGAUACCCCAGUAGUCCCUGUCUCUUAUACA